rnacentral:rRNA from 1 species
CUACAACCGGUGUGUGAUAAAAUCCUAGGAAGGAUGAAGGGGUGGAAACUGGCCCUGUUAAGUCUGGACGGGAGGUUGGACUUGGUUAAGAAGGUCUUGUCAGCAAUGCCAAUCUUCCAAAUGAUUGCAAUUCAUAUAACAACCUGGCUCGAGAAGAUGAUCGACAAGGUCAGGAGAGGGUUUAUUUGGGAAAGCAAGGAAGAGGCCACUAGUGGCAAAUGCUUGGUAAACUGGAAAAGGGUCUGUCGCCCAACUGAAUUGGUGGCCUAG